rnacentral:rRNA from 1 species
GAUGAACGCUAGCGGCAGGCCUAAUACAUGCAAGUCGGACGGGAUUCAGGAGCUUGCUUCUGAUGAGAGUGGCGCACGGGUGCGUAACACGUAUGUAACCUACCUUUAUCAGGGGGAUAGCCUCUCGAAAGAGAGAUUAAGCCCGCAUAAAAUCACAGCACAGCAUUGUGUAAUGAUCAAAUAUUUAUAGGAUAAAGAUGGGCAUGCGGAACAUUAGCUAGAUGGCGGGGUAACGGCCCACCAUGGCGACGAUGUUUAGGGGAUCUGAGAGGAUGGCCCCCCACACUGGUACUGAGACACGGACCAGACUCCUACGGGAGGCAGCAGUAAGGAAUAUUGGUCAAUGGGCGGAAGCCUGAACCAGCCAUGCCGCGUGCAGGAAGACGGCCCUACGGGUUGUAAACUGCUUUUAUACGGGAAUAAACCCAGAUACGUGUAUCUGGCUGAACGUACUGUAAGAAUAAGGAUCGGCUAACUCCGUG